rnacentral:rRNA from 1 species
AACGAACGCUGGCGGCAGGCUUAACACAUGCAAGUCGAGCGCCCCGCAAGGGGCGCGGCAGACGGGUGAGUACCGCGUGGGCACGUACCUUUUGGUUCGGAACAACUCCGGGAAACUGGAGCUAAUACCGGAUAAGCCCUAACGGGGAAAGAUUUAUCGCCGAAAGAUCGGCCCGCGUCUGAUUAGCUAGUUGGUGAGGUAACGGCUCACCAAGGCGACGAUCAGUAGCUGGUCUGAGAGGAUGAUCAGCCACACUGGGACUGAGACACGGCCCAGACUCCUACGGGAGGCAGCAGUGGGGAAUAUUGGACAAUGGGCGCAAGCCUGAUCCAGCCAUGCCGCGUGAGUGAUGAAGGCCUUAGGGUUGUAAAGCUCUUUUGUCCGGGAAGAUAAUGACUGUACCGGAAGAAUAAGCCCCGGCUAACUUCGUG